rnacentral:rRNA from 1 species
ACACUCCUACGGGAGGCAGCAGUGGGGAAUUUUGGACAAUGGGCGAAAGCCUGAUCCAGCAAUGCCGCGUGAGUGAAGAAGGCCUUCGGGUUGUAAAGCUCUUUUGUCAGGGAAGAAACGGUGAGAGCUAAUAUCUUUUGCUAAUGACGGUACCUGAAGAAUAAGCACCGGCUAACUACGUGCCAGCAGCCGCGGUAAUACGUAGGGUGCAAGCGUUAAUCGGAAUUACUGGGCGUAAAGCGUGCGCAGGCGGUUUUGUAAGUCUGAUGUGAAAUCCCCGGGCUCAACCUGGGAAUUGCAUUGGAGACUGCAAGGCUAGAAUCUGGCAGAGGGGGGUAGAAUUCCACGUGUAGCAGUGAAAUGCGUAGAUAUGUGGAGGAACACCGAUGGCGAAGGCAGCCCCCUGGGUCAAGAUUGACGCUCAUGCACGAAAGCGUGGGGAGCAAACAGGAUUAGAUACCCCAGUAGUCCCAUGA